AAACUGGGAAGAAAAAACAACAACCCUGGCUCUUUUCCUUUUCAAUUUUCUCCUUAAAAUGAUAACGUUAUAAAUGUGCUGGCUCCGGCUUGACAACAACUGUAAAAUCGCUAGAUAUACUCCAUCGCUACUGCUACCAUCCAUGUUUACUUCCGCAAACACUGAGCAUGCUGCUUCUUCUCACUUCUUCCACUGGGCACGCUCGCUGCGUAUGACGUCGUUGUACUCUCUUCUGCGCAUGCGGGAUAGUAUGGGACGUUAAGCCGUUCACACAGCAGGCCACAUACAGGUCGCAUUUAAUUGCAAUGUGAACGACCUCACAAAAAAAA